rnacentral:rRNA from 3 species
UACAACUUUCAGCAACGGAUCUCUUGGCUCUCGCAUCGAUGAAGAACGCAGCGAAAUGCGAUAAGUAAUGUGAAUUGCAGAAUUCAGUGAAUCAUCGAAUCUUUGAACGCACCUUGCGCUCCUUGGUAUUCCGAGGAGCAUGCCUGUUUGAGUGUCAUGAAA